CAGUAGCCGCGGUAAUCGUAGGUGGCAAGCGUUGUCCGGAAUUAUUGGGCGUAAAGCGCGCGCAGGUGGUUUAAUAAGUCUGAUGUGAAAGCCCACGGCUCAACCGUGGAGGGUCAUUGGAAACUGUUAAACUUGAGUGCAGGAGAGAAAAGUGGAAUUCCUAGUGUAGCGGUGAAAUGCGUAGAGAUUAGGAGGAACACCAGUGGCGAAGGCGGCUUUUUGGCCUGUAACUGACACUGAGGCGCGAAAGCGUGGGGAGCAAACAGGAUUAGAUACCCCGGUAGUCCCUGUCUCUUAUACA
rnacentral:rRNA from 1 species